rnacentral:rRNA from 1 species
AGAAUUGAUCUGGUCAGGAUGAACGCUGGCGGCGUGCCUAACACAUGCAAGUCGAACGAGCGAGAGAUGAAACCUAGUGAUUCUCGAGCGAGUGGCGGACGGGUGAGUAACGCGUGGGUAACCUGCCUUACAGAGGGGGAUAACAGUUUGAAAAGACUGCUAAUACCGCAUAAGCACACAGUACCGCAUGGUACAGGGUGAAAAGAUUUAUCACUGUAAGAUGGACCCGCGUCUGAUUAGCCAGUUGGCAGGGUAACGGCCUACCAAAGCGACGAUCAGUAGCCGACCUGAGAGGGUGAUCGGCCACAUUGGGACUGAGACACGGCCCAAACUCCUACGGGAGGCAGCAGUGGGGGAUAUUGCACAAUGGAGGAAACUCUGAUGCAGCGAACCGCCGCGUGAGUGAAGAAGUAUUUCGGUAUGUAAAGCUCUAUCAGCAGGGAAGAUAAUGACAGUACCUGACCAAGAAGCCCCGGCUAACUACGUGCCAGCCGCUGC